CCUACGUGAGACUGCAGUGGGGAAUAUUGCGCAAUGGGCGAAAGCCUGACGCAGCGACGCCGCGUGAGGGAUGAAGGUCUUCGGAUCGUAAACCUCUGUCAGCAGGGAAGAACGGUCACUGUGCUAAUCAGCAGUGAAUUGACGGUACCUGCAAAGGAAGCACCGGCUAACUCCGUGCCAGCAGUCGCGGUAAUACGGAGGGUGCGAGCGUUAAUCGGAAUUACUGGGCGUAAAGCGCUCGUAGGCGGUAUGUCAAGUCAAGGGUGAAAUCCCCGCGCUCAACGUGGGAACUGCCUUUGAAACUGGCAAACUGGAGUGUGUGAGAGGAUAGUGGAAUUCCAGGUGUAGGAGUGAAAUCCGUAGAUAUCUGGAGGAACAUCAGUGGCGAAGGCGACUAUCUGGCACAUAACUGACGCUGAGGAGCGAAAGCGUGGGUAGCAAACAGGAUUAGAUACCCCAGUAGUC
rnacentral:rRNA from 1 species